rnacentral:rRNA from 1 species
AUUGAACGCUGGCGGCAGGCCUAACACAUGCAAGUCGAGCGGCAGCGGGAAAGUAGCUUGCUACUUUUGCCGGCGAGCGGCGGACGGGUGAGUAAUGCCUGGGAAAUUGCCCAGUCGAGGGGGAUAACAGUUGGAAACGACUGCUAAUACCGCAUACGCCCUACGGGGGAAAGCAGGGGACCUUCGGGCCUUGCGCGAUUGGAUAUGCCCAGGUGGGAUUAGCUAGUUGGUGAGGUAAUGGCUCACCAAGGCGACGAUCCCUAGCUGGUCUGAGAGGAUGAUCAGCCACACUGGAACUGAGACACGGUCCAGACUCCUACGGGAGGCAGCAGUGGGGAAUAUUGCACAAUGGGGGAAACCCUGAUGCAGCCAUGCCGCGUGUGUGAAGAAGGCCUUCGGGUUGUAAAGCACUUUCAGCGAGGAGGAAAGGUUGAUGCUUAAUACAUAUCAACUGUGACGUUACUCGCAGAAGAAGCACCGGCUAACUCCGUGCCAGCCGCCGCCGUAA